AAUUUUUCUAUUAGCCUCUACAUUUUUAUAACACUAAUAUAAUUACAAAGAUAUUUGGGUAUAUUUAUUUUGGGUUUUAGGUACAGAUUUCUGCUUUAUCUUCAUUUUCUAUCUUGUUUUCCAUCCAAAAGAUUGCUAAUACAGUACUCUCCUCCAAUUCUAUCUUGCCCAGGAUUUCAAGGCAAAGUCUUGAGAACUUCUUAAGAAUUGAAAGAGACCAAUCUGCUGAGCUUAUGAAAAGAAAGCAACAAAAAACUGAAUAGCCAAUUCUAAAGGCCAAAACAGUUGAGAAGAGUAAAGAGGAAAGAAGGAAGAAAAAGCAAACAUUUACUUUAGUAAUUUUAAAUGUUUGAAGAUUAAAAAAAACAAAAUAAACAAAAAGAAAGCCAGACACUAUCAUCAUCAUUCCUCCACAAAAAGAAAAGGUAAAAGAAAACCAUGAUGGCUACAACAGUUCCUUAGGUUUGUCUACUAAGCUGGGAUGGGAUCUCCCUGCUCUCCAUCACAAAGCAUCUGAGAUGAGACAGAGCAGCUAUUUAUAGAGUGAAAAUAAUUGUUAUUUAUUAAUAUUGUUUAAAGCAGAACUUGUGACAUUCAUUUUAAAGUGGUGGCACAGAAGCAAGCUGGUUUCCCUCCUCCCAUCCCUCCACAGAAAACCUAAAACAAAUAUACAGCACAAGAUUUUCACCAGCAACAACCUGGAACUCAAAUAUGAGGACGAGACAGAUCCUGAGGCCACAGAAAAGUAGAAAAACUCCAUGCAGAUGGUGUAAGAAUUGGACUUCCAUAGUCAUGAUGCCCCUCCCCUUGAUUCUGCCCGGCAAUAAAAGUGCAGAAAAUCUUCCCCCAACUCGUAGAAAAAUGAUACUGGAAAAGUGAGACUGAGGUGGCCAACCAGCUUUCCCACCUUCCUGGGAUUCCCUGCAGGAGACCUGCCCUUGCCUUAACCCAUGGGAAGGAAGUGAUGUGACUCUCUGAAGGGAGAAAUAUCCCCGAGGACAGGCGGAGAAAAAGCCGGGAGAUGGGACCACCACCCCAGUCCUGGACACUCUGCUCUGUAACUUGGCCAAAGGAGACACUGAAUCAGAGUGGCUGUUCAGCAGCACCACACUGGAGAAGGCACAUUCCACAGAUCCCUUGGGCACAAACUCCUAGUCAGCCAUCCCACAUUGCCAGGAUAAUCCCUCAUUCAGGACAAGCGGCACUCCCAUCGCUUACGAGAGCCAAGGUGAUCUGGGCUUAAAGGCCACCUAGCGCCAAAGAGGUGGCAGAGGCCUAGCGGUAAAAAAUUUCUAAGCAAACAUAUCCAAUAAAAAACAAAACAAGCCAGACAGAGAAAACUGCAAUUUAAAACUAAUCCUUCUAUACAAAGACACAGACACCCACCCACAAGAAACAAUAGCAAACAGGACCUCCCCAAAAAGACAAGGGAAAAUCCAACCCUACAAGAUGGCGAUUUGUGAGCUAAGAAUUCAAAAUAACAAUUUUAAGGAAACUCAUGAGCUCAAGAUAAAAAUGAAAAGCAAUUCAGAAAUUUAUCAGAUAAAUUUGAUGAAGAGAUUGAAAUACUUUUAAGAAAUCAAACAGAAAUCUCAGAACUGAGAAAUACAUUUGAUAAACUGAAGAACUCAUUAGAGGCUCUUAGUAGAAUGAACAAAGCACAGGAAAGAUUCAGUGAGCUCAAAGACCAGCUAUUUGAAAAGACACAGAGAAAAAAGAAAAAUGAACAAAAAGGAACAGAGUGCAUACAAGGUACAGAAAAUUACCUCAAAAGACCAAACCUAAGAAUUAUUGGUAUUCAGGAGGCAGCUCAGCAAGAGCAAAGGGUAGAAAGCAUAUUCAAAGAAAUAAUCACAGGAAACUUUCCAAAACUCGUGAAAGAUAUAAAUAUUCAAGUACAGGGAAGUCUGAGAACAUCACACAGAUUCAACCUAAAUAAGAAUACCACAAAGCAAUAAACUCUCAAAGCUCAAGAACAAAGACAGAACCCUAAAAGCAGCAAGAGAAAAAGAAACAAAUAACAGGUAAAGGAGCUCCAAAUUGCCUGGUAACAGAAUUCUCAACAGAAAACCCACACAGGCCAGGAAAGAGUGGACUGACAUUUUUAAAGUGCUCAAAGAAAAAAACUGUCAUCUAAGAAUAUUGCAUCCAACAAAAUUAUCAUUCAAAUAUAAAGGAGAGAUCAAAUCUUUCCCGAAAGAACAAAAGCAGAGAGAAUUCACCACCACCAGACCCAUCUUAAAAGAAAUGCUAAAGAGAGUUCUUCAAUCUGAAAUAAAAAACCACUAAUGUGCAAAAAAUAAAAAUGAACCUUUCAAUGUAUCAAACCUAGUGGUAAAAUCAAGUACAUGGAUAAACCCAGAAUACUCUAUUACUGUACUUACUGUACUUGCAGUGUACAAUGUACUACUAGUACUACCACAAUCAUAACUCUAGUAUGAAGCCCAAAAGACAACCUAUCAAAAACAAUAAUACCUACAGCAACCAGUGAAGGGAUAGGUAAUAUUAAAAUAUGCAAAUUGAGACAACUAAGUCAAAAUGUAAUGGGGAUGGAGUUAAAGUAUAGAAUUGGGGUGUGUGUGUAUGUGCGUGCAUGUGUGUAUGUGUAGUUUUUUUUAGCCUUUGUUUCUGUUUUUAAAUUUGUGAUCUAAGAUAAGUUGUCAUUUGUUUAAAAUAACUUGCUGUAUCUAUAAGAUGUUUCUGGUAAGCCUCAUAGUAACCACAACACAAAAACCUAUAAUAGAUCCACUAAAAAUAAAAAGCAACAUAUUAAAACACAUUACCAGAGAAAAUCACUUAGCCACAAAGGAAAACCAUGUAAAAAAGAACAAGAGGAGUUUCAACCAGAAACAGGCAGCAAAACAGCAGUAAUAAGUCCUUAUCAAUAACACUGAAUGUAAAUGGUCUCAAUUCUCCAAUUAAAAGGCCUAAAGUAGGUAAAUGGAUAUAAAAACAAGAACCAACUAUAUGUUAGCUUCAAGAAAUUCACUUCACCCACACAGACUGAAAGUAAAAAGGUGGAAAAAAAAACCAUUCUAUACAACUAGAAGCCAAAAAAAGAGCAGAUGUAGCUAUACUUAUAUAAGAGAGACUAACAAAUCUAAGACUAAAAUGAGAAAAAGCAGGUCACUACAUAAUGAUAAAGGGGACAAUUCAGCAAGAAGAUGAAACAAUUACAAAUAUCUAUGCACCUAACACCAGAGUUCCCAAGUAUAUAAAACAUUCGUAAAUCUAAAGGGAGAAACAGACGGCAGUACAAUAAUGGUAGGGGACUUCAACACUCCACUCUCAGUAAGGGACAGAACAUCCAGACAGAAAAUCAACAAAGAAACAGUGGAGUUAAACUACACACUAGAUCUAACAGGCCUAACCAACAUUUACACAUUUCACCCAACUGCUGCAGAAUACAUUCUUUUCAUCAGCACAUGGAACACUGUCCAGAACAGACCAUGUCUUAGGCUAUAAAACAAGUCCAAACAAACUCAAAAAAAAAAAAAAAAAAAAAAAAAAAAAAAAAAACAGAAAAAAAAAAUCAUAUCAAGUAUCUUUCCUGACCACAAUGGAAUAAAACUAGAAAUCAGUAAGAGGAACCUCAGAAAAUACACAAACACAUGGAAAUUAAACAACAUGCCCUGAAUGACCAACGAGUCAGUGAAGAAACUAAGAAGUUAAAAAAAAAAUUAUCAAAACACAAGUGAAAAUGUAAAUACAAGAUAAAAAAUCUGUGGGCUAUAACAAAAGCAGUACUAAGAGGGAAGUGGAGAGCAAUAAACGUCUAUAUCAAAAAAGUAAAAAGCCUUCAAAUAAAUAACUCAACGAUGCACCUCAAGGGACUAGAAAAGCAGGAAUGAACCAAACCCCAAAUUAGGAAAAAAAGAAAUGAUGAUGAUCAGAGCAGAAAUAAAUGAAAUUGAGAUAAAAAAAAAAUACAGAAGAUCAACAAAACAAUGAGUUGGUUUUUUGAACAGAUAAACAAAAUAGACAAACCUUUAGCUAGACUAAGAAAAAGAGAGAAAAUCCAAGUAAAUAAAAUCAGACAUGAAAAAGGAGACAUAGCAACUGGGACCUAAGAAAUAUGAAGACUCAUUAGCGACUAUUAUGAACAACUAUAUGGCAACAGAUUGGAAAACCCAGAAGAAACGGAUAAAUUUCUAGACACAUACAACUCACCAAGAAUGAACUAUGAAGAAACAGAAAACCUCAACAAAAUAGUCAUGAGUAAUGAGAUCAAAGCUAUAAUAAAAAGUCUUCUAUCAAAAAAAGCCCAAGACCUGAAGGCUUCAUUUGAAUUCUAUCAAACAUGUAAAGAAAACUAAUACUGAUCCUACUUAAACUCUUCAAAAAAAAAAAAUUGGAGAGGAGGGAAUACUUCCAAACUCAUGCUACAAGGUCAAUAUUACUCUGAUACCAAAAGCAGACAAAGAUACAACACAAACAAAACCUACAGGCCAAUAUCACUGAUGAACAUUAAUGCAAAAAUCCUCAGUGAAAUACUAGCAAACCGAAUUCAACAAUACAUUAAAAAGGGGACUGAAAAGAUCAUUCACCAUGAUUAAAUGUGAUUCAUCCUAGGGAUGCAGAUGGUUAAACAUACAAAAAUCAAUAAACAUGAUACAUCACAUUAACAGAAUCAAGAACAAAAACCAUAUGAUUAUUUCAAUAGAUGUCAAAAAAGCAUUUGAUAAAAUUCAACAUGUCUUUAUGAUUAAAAAUCCUCAUCAAAAUCAGUAUAGAAGAACAUACCCCGAAAUAAUACACACCAUAUAUGAAAAACCCAAAUUAGCAUUGUAUUGAAUUGUGAAAAACUGAAGGCCUUUCCUCUAAGGACUAGAACAAGUAAAGGAUGCCCACUUUCAGUAUUAUACAACAUAAUACUGGAAGUCCUGGCUGGCACAAUUGGGCAAAAGAAAGAAAUAAAGGGCAUCCAAACUGAAAAGAAAGAAGUCAACUUAGUCUUGUUCACAGAAGACAUAAUUUUAUACCUAGAAAACCCUAAAGACUCCACCAAAAAACUGUGAGAACUGAUAGAUGAAUUCAGUGAAAUUGUAGAAUUUAUCAACAUACAAAAAUCAGUAGUGUUUAAAUUUGUCAAUGGUAAACUAUCUGAAAAAGAUAUCAAGAAGCAAUCCUAUUUACAAUAGCUACAAAAUAUAAAAUACCUAGGAAGCAAUCUAACCAAAGAAGUGAAAGAUCGGUGUAAGGAAAACUAUAAAACUCUGAUGAAAGAAAUUGAAGAGAAUGCAAAAAAUGGAAAGAUAUUCCAUGCUCAUGGAUUAGAAGACUUAAUACUGUUAAAAUGGCAAUACUACCCAAAGUAAUUUACAAAUUCAAUGUAAAUUGAAUGUAACAAAAUACCUAUGACACUCUUCACAGAAUUAGAAAAAAUGUCCUCAAAUUUACAUGGAACUACAAAAGACCCCGAAUAGCCAAAGUCAUCCUGACUAAAAAGAACAAAGCUGGAGGUAUCAUACUACCUGACUUCAAAAUUUACUACAAAGCUAUAAUAAUCAAAACAGCAUGGUACUGGCAUAAAAAUAGAUACAUAAACCAAUGGAACAGAAUAGAGAAUCCAGAUAUAAAUCCUCACAUACAGCCAACUCAUCUUUGACAAAGGUGCCAAGAACAUUCAAUAGAGAACAGUCCUUUCAGUAAAGGGUGUAGGGAAAACUGGAUAACUGUAUGAGACCAAUGAAAUUAGACCCCUAUUUCUCACCAUCCACAGAAAUCAAAUAAAAAUGGAUUAAAGAAUUAAAAAUGUAAGACCUGUAACUAUGAAACCACUAGAAGAAAACACUGAGGAAAUGCUCCAGGAGGUUGGUCUGAGCAAAGUUUUUUUUGUGUAUAAGACUUCAAAAGCAUAGGUAAUCAAAACAAAAAUAGACAAAUGGGAUUACAUGCAGCCAAAAAACUACUGUACCACAAAGGAAAAAAUUAACAAAGAGCCUACAGGAUAGUAGAAAAAAUUUGCAAAGUGUCUACCUGACAAGGGAUUAUUAACCACAAUAUCUAAGGAACUCAAACAACUCAAUAGCAAGAGAAAUGAGAUUUAAAAAUUGACAAAAGAUCUGAACAGAUAUUUCUCAAAAGAAGACACACAAAUGGCCAACAGGUAUAUGAAAAAAUGCUCAAUAUCACUAAUUAUCAGAGAAAUGCAAAUCAAGACCACAAUUGAGAUAUCAUCUCACCCCAGUUAAAAUGGCAUAUAUCAAAAAGACAGGCAGUAAUAGAUGCUGGCAAGGAUGUGGGGAAAGGAGAAUCCUCAUAAACUGCUAGUGGAAAUGUAAAUUCAUACAGCCACUGUGAAAAACAGUAUGGAGGUUCCUUGAAAACUAAAAAUAGAACUAUCAUAUGAUCCAGCAAUUCCAUUACUGGAUAUAUGUCCAGAAGAAAGGAAAUCAAUAUAUAGAAAAGCCAUCUGCACUCCAGUGUUUACUGCAGCACUAUUCAUAGCAGCCAAAAUAUGAAAUCAACCUAAGUGCCCAUCAACAGAAGAAUGAAUUUUUAGAAAGUGGUAUAUACACCCAAUGAAAUAUUAUUCAGCCAUAAAAAAGGAAUGAAAUCUUGUCAUCUGCACCAACACGGAUGGAACUACAGGCUGUUACGUUAAGUGAAAUAAGCCAAGCACCAAAAGACAAAUACUGCAUCUUCUCACUCAUAUGUGGGGGCUAAAAUGGAAUCUCAUGAAGAUGGGGAGUAGAAUGGUGAUUACGUGAGGCUGGGAAGGAUAGGGAGGAUGGUAGGGAGGAGGAGUGAUGAAGGGAAUUUUUAAAAAAUAUACAUAUAUACAAAAUAUA
rnacentral:lncRNA from 10 species